GACGAACGCUGGCGGCGUGCUUAACACAUGCAAGUCGAACGGUAAGCGCCUUCCUUUUUGGUGGGUGUGGAUGAGUGGCGAGCGGGUGAGUAACACGUGAGUAACCUGCCCCCUUCUUCUGGAUAACCGCAUGAAAGUGUGUCUAAUACGGGGUAUUCUGGGUCUGUCGCAUGCUGGGUCUGGGUAAGAUAUUGUUUCGGUGGGGGAUGGGCUCGCGGCCUAUCAGCUUGUUGGUGGGGUGAUGGCAUACCAAGGAGGUGGCGGGUAGCCGGCCUGAGAGGGUGCACGGUCACGCUGGGACGGAGACACGGCCCAGACUGCUACGGGAGGCAGCAGAGGGGCAUACUGCACGAUGCGGGGAAGACUGAUGCAGAGACGCCGCGUGAGUGAUGGAGGCCUGCGGGUUGUGAACCGCUUUCGCUAGUGAAGCAGGCCUGCCUUGUUUGUGGGUGUGUUGACGGUAGCUGGAGAAGAAGCGCCGGCUAACUACGUG
rnacentral:rRNA from 1 species